rnacentral:lncRNA from 1 species
UUCCUGUGUCCCUGCCAGACCGGUGAAGUCAGAACCUCCAGAGGUGAGGCUGGCAAACCUGACUUUUUCUCCCAAGCAUGCUGCUCUCCGAGAACCACGGGACCAAGCAAAGCUGCGGGCUCCCCUGGCGGGGCCGCUGCCGGGACACGCAGGGACCCGGGGCUGGCCGCGCCCCCAUCAGAUAAGGCCGCCACCCCCGUGCUGGCAGCGCCGGGCGCCCGGCGAGGAGUUUACGUAAGCCUCUCGGUGGUGGAAAAACAACUGCGCCAGCGGGCGGUUCCUGGCCUGCUCCGAGCCGCGGGCCCCAGACGCUGGCUCACCCCGAGAGGCUCCGUCCUGGCAGCUCCCCGGGGCUCAGGCGAAACUCUGGGGGUCCCACGUGCUGGAAGACCGGCUCUCGGGCCACCCAAAGCCCCACCCUCAGGCCCAGGCACCCUGCACGGGAGAGCCAGUGUGGGUGUCACCCCUCCCCGCCGGCCCUGCAGCAGCCUGGAGCCCGGGAGGGGCCCCCCCAGGGGCAGCACCGCACCCCUGAGCGCCUGCUGCAUGCCCGGUCCUGCUCCAGGCGGCGGGAGCGGGUGCAGGGAUGAGAACCGGGAAAGAACCAAGAGGGGGCCUGGGCCAGGAGGAAACCCGCGGCGACCAGCCGCUGCGCACCUGCGCACCCCAUCGUGUCUUCCUUUCUUGCUUUUAAAACUGAAGGAGAGCUGAGGCAGCCUCUCGCAGAGCUGCUGAAGACAGAGGGGACACAGCGAGGGGGACGUGACCCUCCCCAGCCCACACCCAUCUCUGCCAGGAGGGAGGCAGGUGACCAGGACCCCACAUUCGCCAGUUGCCCGACCUCAUCACCUUGUGCCCAAAUCUCUUUAUCUACAAAACGAAGCUAAUGCUUAUACCAACCUUGAGUUCGAGAAUGUAAUGAGACAUUUUGAGGAUUAAAUAUGAUAACGAAUAUAAAACCCUUAAAGCAUACCUAUCAUAGUGUCUGGCACAAAAUAUCACACAGGAACAUGUCACCGUGCACGUAUACGUAUUGAAUUCACCUGCCUUUCCAUCUCAGCACAGACAUCUGCCUUUCCGGGGGGCCUUUCCUGAUCCCUCCCAUAGGUCAGGGUCCCGAUUACAUUCCCUCCCAAGUCCCCCUUCCUCCACUCUUCACCCAUGUAACUACCCCAGACUGUGUCUUCUCCAUCAGACUGUGCGCUCACUGUGUGCCAGCCUUCAUGCUGGCCCUGGGCACCCAGAGGUAAAUCACAUUCUGGCCCCGUCCUCUAGGGGGUCCUAGCCUGGGGCAAUAAAGAAACCCAGUGGAUUUGAAAUCA